rnacentral:lncRNA from 1 species
CAUUCUUGUAACCCAGGCUGGAGUGCGGUGGCGUGAUCUCCGCUCACUGCAACCUCUGCCUACUGGGUUCAAGCGAUUCUCCUGCCUGAUUCUCCCAAGUAGCUGGGAUUACAGGUGCCCACCACCAUGUUGGCAUUUUUUGUAUUUUUAGUAGAGAUGGGGCUUCACCAUGUUGGUCAGGCUGGUCUUGAACUCCUGACCUCAAGUGAUCCGCCCACCUCGGCCUCCCAAAAUGCUGAGAUUACAGGUGUGAGCCACCGUGCCCAGUCUAAGGCACACAAUUUGCAAAGGAAAUUGAGGCUCUCGCACAAAUCCAGUCCACCCUGUACUUACACCCAACAUGCAGGAGGUGUUGACUCUCAUCCCUUGACUCAGGACAUGUGUGUAAUUGUUAAUGUCAUGGCAAGACCUUUUGACAAGUGUAAUUGUGACAUAUACCUUGGCCUAGCAUCUGAGUUAUUUGUUGUUUCCUGGGUCCAGCUCACAGUGCCAUAUCACUGGACCCAGACCCUUGGUAAUGUGAUUCUAUUCUGCCUUGAUACAGCCCACAGGGGUCAUUGUGACAUCGCUGGGCAUUGCACCUAGGUGAUUUGAGUCUCCUCUUCUGCCUUGGUGCUGCCCACAGGUGUAUUGUGACAUAUUGCUGGGCGUAUGUUAUGUGACUCUUGCUUGUGCCCUAAACACAUAGGCCAUUGUAACAUUGCUGAGUGCAACACCCAGGUGAUGUAACGCUUCAUCCUGGACCUGUCUACAGAGGGCAUUGUAAUAUAUGUCUUCACCAAUCACCCAGGAAAUGUGACUUUUUAUUCCUGCCUGUUCUGUACUCACAGUGGGUAUUGGGACAUAUUGGGCCUAGCACCUAGCUGAUGUGACUUUUCUUUAUUCUAGGUUCUGACAACAAAGGAGAUUGUGACACAUUGCUGGGCCUAACACUAAGUUGAUGUUAGUUAUUUGCUUUGGCUGUGCCCUUGGAAGGCAUUGAGACAUACUGCUAUGCCCAGCACCAAGAUGAUGUAACGUGACUCUUCUGCUUCAGGCCUGCCAAAAGAAAAGAUUGUGACAGAUCACUGGACCCAGCACCUAGGUGAUGUGACUCUCCUCAUUUGCCUGAGACCUGCAUAUUUUAGACAUUGUGAUAUACAACUGGAACAAACACCUAGGGGUUGGAAGGCUCCUGCCUGAGUCCCUCCCACAGGAGGCCUUGUGAUGUUUUUUUGUUUGUUUUUUGUUUUCUUUGAGAUGGAGUUUCGUUAUUGUUGCCCAGACUGGCAUGCGGUGGCGUGACCUUGGCUCACCGCAACCUCCGCCUCCCGGGUUCAAGCGGUUCUCCUGCCUCAACCUCCCGAGUAGCUGGGAUUACAGGCAUCUGCCACCAUGCCCAGCUAAUUUUCUAUUUUUAAUAGAGACGGGGUUUCUCCAUGUUGGUCAGGCUGGUCUCAAACUCCUGAAAUCAGGUGAUCCGCCUGCCUCGGCCUCCCAAAAUGCUGGGAUUACAGUUGUGAGCCACUGCACCCAGCUUUGUGAUGUAUUUCUGCAUCCAUCAUGCAAGAGAUAAAACUCUGUAUUUUUGCCUGCAUUCUGCCCACAGGGAAGAUUUUGACAUAUCGUUGGGCCCAGCAACCAGUCGUUUUGUCUGUCAUCUGGGCCCAGCACCCAAGGGAUCUCACUCUUCUACCUGUGCCCUGCUUUCAGGAGGGAUUGUAACAUCCCUGGUCAAGCCCCCAGUGAUGUGAUUCUCCUGUUUGAUGCCUGCCCUCAGGGGGGAUUGUGACAUAGCCCUGGCCCAACACACAGUUGAUGUAACUCUUGAAUUUGCUCUUUACAUACAGGUAGGAUUGUGACAUAUAUCUGGCCAAGCGUACAGAUGUAAUAAUGACUGUCAUACCUUGAAGAAGCCAAUAGGAGAGAGAAUGUUGCUCUCAGGCUUAGGAAAAUGAGGAAGUCUUUCUGUACAAAAGUCAUAAAGAAUUACUACUCUCUCACAU